GCUCACAUCAUUACUGAGCAUCCAGCUAUGAGGGUGGGAAUAGUCUUUUGUGGGAGACAAUCUCCUGGAGGUCACAAUGUCAUAUGGGGCCUUAACAGUGCUCUUAAAAUCCACAACCCUAACAGUACUUUACUUGGAUUUCUAGGUGGCUCUGAAGGUUUAUUUGCCCAGAAAACCCUUGAAAUAACUGAUGAUGUUCUGUCAACCUACAAAAAUCAAGGUGGUUAUGAUUUGCUGGGUAGGACUAAAGAUCAAAUAAGAACAACUGAGCAAGUUAAUGCUGCGCUAACCACAUGCAAAGAUUUGAAAUUGGACGGCCUUGUUAUAAUUGGAGGGGUUACAUCAAAUACAGAUGCUGCUCAGCUUGCUGAAACAUUUGCUGAGGCAAAGUGCUCAACAAAGGUGGUUGGCGUUCCUGUUACUUUGAAUGGAGAUCUCAAGAAUCAAUUUGUGGAAACAAAUGUUGGUUUUGAUACUAUAUGUAAGGUUAAUUCACAGCUCAUCAGUAAUGUCUGUACUGAUGCUCUUUCUGCAGAGAAGUAUUAUUAUUUUAUUCGUCUCAUGGGUCGAAAGGCAUCACAUGU
rnacentral:misc_RNA from 1 species